rnacentral:lncRNA from 1 species
GUGGGACACCAAACAUAAAUAAUAUUUCAUGGUAAAAUUUGACAUCAAAAUAACAAAUAAUAACUAAUUGCAAUACAAACAAAACAUAACUUAAUUAUGAUGUUUACAGAAGCUCCCAUUUCGCCUUAGUUAAUUCUUAUGUACCUGAAAAUUUGUACUAAGGCAAACUGGGAUUAAUUUUAUAUAAUUUUUUUGACAGCUA